GACCGCGACCAUACCAUGUUGGAAACACCGGUUCUCGUCUGAUCACCGAAGUACGACAACGUUGGGCCCGGUUAGUAAGUACAUGGGUGACCAGCUGGAAAUACCGGGUGUUGCGGCCG
rnacentral:rRNA from 1 species